CGCCUUGCCAGCCCGCUCAGAAACUCAAAGGAAUUGACGGGGGCCCGCACAAGCGGUGGAGCAUGUGGUUUAAUUCGAUGAUACGCGAGGAACCUUACCUGGGCUCAAAUGUAUGUUGACGUAUUCUGAAAGGGAUACUUCUUCGGACAAUAUACAAGGUGCUGCAUGGUUGUCGUCAGCUCGUGCCGUGAGGUGUCGGGUUAAGUCCCAUAACGAGCGCAACCCCUAUCAUUAGUUGCCAUCAGGUCAAGGCUGGGGACUCUAAUGAAACUGCCUACGCAAGUAGUGAGGAAGGUGGGGAUGACGUCAAAUCAGCACGGCCCUUACGUCCAGGGCUACACACGUGCUACAAUGGUCGGUACAAAGGGUUGCCAAGCCGCGAGGUGGAGCUAAUCCCAUAAAACCGAUCGUAGUCCGGAUCGCAGUCUGCAACUCGACUGCGUGAAGUCGGAAUCGCUAGUAAUCCGUUGAAUCACGAAUGUCAACGGUGAAGUACGUUCCGGGCCGUU
rnacentral:rRNA from 1 species